GUUAUAUACAGGGGUACCGGUACAGAGUCAAUGUGGAGGCUAAAUACAGGGGGGUACCGGUACAGAGUCAGUGUGGAGGUUAUAUACAGGGGUACCGGUACAGAGUAAAUGUGGAGGCUAAAUACAGGGGGUACCGGUACAGAGUCAGUGUGGAGGUUAUAUACAGGGGUACCGGUACAGAGUCAAUGUGGAGGCUAAAUACAGGGGGUACCGGUACAGAGUCAGUGUGGAGGUUAUAUACAGGGGGUACUGGUACAGAGUCAAUGUGGAGGCUAUAUACAGGGGGUACCGGUACAGAGUCAAUGUGGAGACUAUAUACAGGGGGUACCGGUACAGAGUCAAUGUGGAGGCUAUAUACAGGGGGUACCGGUACAGAGUCAGUGUGGAGGCUAUAUACAGGGGGUACCGGUACAGAGUCAAUGUGGAGACUAUAUACAGGGGGUACCGGUACAGAGUCAAUGUGGAGGCUAUAUACAGGGUAUUACGGUACAGAGUCAAUGUGGAGGCUAUAUACA
rnacentral:lncRNA from 1 species